rnacentral:rRNA from 1 species
AUACGGAGGGUCCGAGCGUUAUCCGGAAUCAUUGGGUUUAAAGGGUCCGUAGGCGGGAAUCUAAGUCAGUGGUGAAAUCUUGCAGCUCAACUGUAAAAUUGCCAUUGAUACUGGAUUUCUUGAAUUAGUGUGAAGUGAUUAGAAUGUGUAGUGUAGCAGUGAAAUGCAUAGAUAUUACACAGAAUACCAAUUGCGAAGGCAGAUCACUAACACUAUAUUGACGCUGAGGGACGAAAGCGUGGGGAGCGAACAGGAUUAGAAACCCCAGUAGUCC